rnacentral:ncRNA from 2 species
AACUCAUCAAGAGCGGUGGAGGGACUGGCCCUAUGAAACCCGGCAACCGUCAUGUUUUAUGAAAAUGGUGCUAAUUCCUGCAAAGCGUAUAGCUUUGGGAGAUGAGUA